rnacentral:rRNA from 1 species
AGCGAACGCUGGCGGCAGGCCUAACACAUGCAAGUCGAACGAACUCUUCGGAGUUAGUGGCGGACGGGUGAGUAACACGUGGGAACGUGCCUUUAGGUUCGGAAUAACUCAGGGAAACUUGUGCUAAUACCGAAUGUGCCCUGCGGGGGAAUGAUUUAUCGCCUUUAGAGCGGCCCGCGUCUGAUUAGCUAGUUGGUGAGGUAACGGCUCACCAAGGCGACGAUCAGUAGCUGGUCUGAGAGGAUGGCCAGCCACACUGGGACUGAGACACGGCCCAGACUCCUACGGGAGGCAGCAGUGGGGAAUCUUGCGCAAUGGGCGAAAGCCUGACGCAGCCAUGCCGCGUGAAUGAUGAAGGUCUUAGGAUUGUAAAAUUCUUUCACCGGGGACGAUAAUGACGGUACCCGGAGAAGAAGCCCCGGCUAACUUCGUGCCAGCCGCCGCGGUAA